UUCAAGACGUUUAGUUACCGAGACGAAUAGAAGUUUACUAUUGCCAAAACUUAUUCUGCACAAUGGUUUAUAUUGAUCCGAUAAAUGUGUUUACUUUAUUAUCCAUAGCUUUUAAUUCUGUGGAUAAAAAAGUGACGCCUGUUAACAGUGCUGAGUUAGAGUUAAAAGACAUUUUAUAUGACAUAAUCGUGCAACGUAUGGAAGAUCCAACAUUCAACAUAGAACAAGAAACAUAUUUAGACAUUGAAGAAGAGUUUGCAAACGGUGAAGAUCCUGAUGUAAAUUUCCAGUGGCUGCAAGAAACGGAAAUGGACCUAACGGAAACGGACCUUACUGAUGAAGAGGAACAAGAUCAACAACUAGAAAAAUGUACGCUCUCCGAAGCACCAACCAGUUAUGAAUACAGAAAAAAUGCUGUGGAAUACUGGAAGAGUGGUAAGACAAAACGUUUGAAAUUAGAAACAGUGCAAUCUAGAUUCAAAAUGGUCAAGUCUAUUCGGCAGUUACGCAGAUGGGCUGCCCAAGUCGAAAUGGGUGGCACACGUUUAGAUAAAUUACUGCGUAUUGCAGAUUAUACAUACAAAAAUGUUAUACAAGCAAUACGGUCAAAUAUAAUAGUACAUGACAUAGAUAUUCGACGGUGGGCGUUACAAGCAAAAUUAGAAGAAGAUUUAGCAUCAUUUACAGCUGGCCGUACAUGGCUGUUAAAAUUUAAAAAAGCAUAUGGCAUAGUAUCGCGAAAAGUUACGAAGUUUGUGACGAGGCCCAGUAUCGAUAAAGAACCAGAACUGAUUUCAAGUUCUCAUAAUUUUCUGGAGCGUGUUAAAUCCUAUACCGAUCGUUACGGAUUUGAGAAUUUGUAUAAUUCGAAUCAAAGUGGUUUCAACCUCGAACUACAUUCUGGACGAACUUUGGCGUUGAAAGGUACGAAGAAAGUAGAAGCUGUAAUACAGUCAAUUCCAUCCACUACUCAUAGCUACACUAUACAACCUACAAUAUCUGCAAGCGGAAAACUGCUAUCUCCUCUCUUCGUCGUGUUAAAGGAAACAUCUGGAGAGUUUGGACCUAGGGUACAGCAGACUAUGUUUAAACCAACGAACAUUUUGGCUACCGCGUCAACAUUUAAAAUUUGGUUAAAAGAAGUUUACUUUCCUAAUACAAACGAGAAGACUGCUUCACUAUUAGAUUCUUGGAGUGGACAUUGUAGUCGUAGUAUUGUAGAAGCUACACCGGAAAAUAAAGAAUUACUAGUAUUUACGAUUCCAGCAGGGACUACAAAAUGUUUACAACCAUUAAACGUGCACGGAUUUCGUGUAUGGAAAAAUUUUGUUCGCCGGUUUUCGGACAGUCAUCCUAUUACAUUAUGAGAUUAAUCUCCACACGAGGGACAAUAUUUUAAAACUUCAGUCGCUGGCUCAUAAUCAAUUUUCUUCCCUACGAUUUGAAAACUUUAUUAAAUAUUCAUGGUAUAAAAGUGGAUGUGUAUCAUCGAGACCACCUCAUUUUGAAAAUCCCGUGGAGUUCUGCUAUGCUGUAGAUAAUGAACCACGAUGGCACGUAUAUGGUGAUGUGAAUAUUAUUACCUGUGCUUGGUGCCGAAAGCCUUUAUGUUUGAAGCAUUUCUUCGAAGAGUAUCAUUUUUGUCACGACUAUGUUCCUUAAGUUAUUCAAAUUCCUUGUUGCAUAUUAAAAUUAUCAAUUUCAUACAUCCACCAUCGAGUAUGUAUAACUUUAAUUAUUUUAUAUCAUGCGAUACAAAUUUAACAAAAUUAACCAUUGUAUGUUAUAAAAAUAGUUGUUUUCCACUUAUGCGAAUAAAUAACAUCGGUGUAUAACGUCAGAUACGAUUAAAGUAUCACGCGCUGACUCAGCGGGCGUACGCGCGAGUCAUAAAUAAUAAAAAUCUGCGGAACUGUAGGAGGGAAUUUCAUAAACAUAUAUAUAAAUGGAUUUGGAAUGAAAUGCUCUACAUUUUUUGUCAACACAUAAAUUUAAAUAAGUUGUAAAAUAAUGUUAUAAACAAUUUUUUUGUUAUAAACAAAUUGUAUUUUUGACAAUCUGUUAACUCCAUAUUAUUGUAUAUAAAAAACCAUUAAAUCCGCCCAUUAGAAGUCUUCACGUAUCUCUUUUGGUUUUCAAGAUAGCAGUUUCAGGUCGAAACUUUGAGGGGUGGUUUCACCCCUUAAAGUCGCGUCUCAGCAGAUAUGAAAAAAUACGUGUUCCUUAUUUUUACCUGGUUAACAAAUGUACGAAGUUUCAUCAAAAUCGGAGGGGGACACUUCGGUGCCUUUCCCCAAACUGGUUUUCCGCAAUAUUGUUCUUUUUAAUCGCUUCAAGAAGCCUCUCUUUAAUAAUACAGGGUGUCCCGUAAAGAGUGUUAGUCCUUUGAGGGGGUGGUAGCUGGGGUGAUUCUGAACAACAUUUUCCUUUGCGAAAAAGUUGUUUGAAGCUUCGUUUUUGAAUUAUUGAACAUACUGACCACACUGACCAAUUCGACCGCGUAUAGCGCGCGGGCUUAGGGACGGCAGCGUUGGCUGCGACAGCCGGGCUUGACGUAGGUCGCGUACAGAUUAUUAUAACAUGUUCAUCGUUUAUGCCCAGUGCGAGGGCAACGCGGAACUCGCGGCUCUGCGGUAUCGGGAAAAGUAUAGCACAACAGAAAAUGCACCAAGUGCUCAGUGUUUCCGGAGGCUGGUCUCCCGGGCACAUGCCACUGUCUCGCUGGUGCCUCAGCGGAAGGAGAUGGGUCGCACCACACGAACUUCUCCGCUGCAGGAAGAGGAAAUCCUGGAGCAAUUUAAUCAGGAUGGCACCCGCAGUAUACGCGAUGUCAGCCGGCGCACUAACGUAAGCCGCACAAUAGUUCACAGAAUCCUCAGAAAUCAGGCGAUGGAUUUUCCCCGGCGGAUGGAAUAUUCCCAGUGGUUGCGGGGAAAAAUCGCGCGGAAUCCAUCGUUUUGCCGGUAUGUUUUGUGGACAGACGAAGCCCUCUUCACACGGGAGGGGUGCUUUAAUGCUCACAACUCACAUCUGUGGAGGGAUGCGAAUCCUCAUGCGAUUCGUCCACGAGCAGCGCAACACCACUGGUCAAUCAAUGUAUGGGCCGGAAUUUGUGGCGAUUUUGUUGUUGGGCCGUACAUUCUGCCAAACAGAUUGGACGGCCCAACAUACAGUGUUUGUAGAAGAUGUUCUCCCGACUCUUUUGGAAGAAAUUCCACUAGAAAUUCGGUGGUACAUGUUCUUCCAACACGACGGUACGCCAACCCAUUACGCCGCAAAUGUUCGGACCCAUCUAAACCAAACUUUCAGGACAGGUGGAUUGGCCGCGGUGGUCCUGUUCCGUGGCCCCCGCGAUCACCGGAUAUGAAUCCGUUAGAUUUUUAUUUUUGGGGGUAUUUAAAGAACGAAGUAUACAGAAACCCCAUCAAUUCCCGGGAUGAAGCAAUUGCACUUAUCCACGGUGCCGUUGCAGCAAUCACUCCGGAGACACUAAGCCGAGUGCAAAGCAACAUACUCAAAAGAGUAACAACCUGUGUGGAGGCCCAAGGUGGGCGCGUGGAGUUCUUUCUCCAUUAGAAAAAUCGGCCCCUUUCGAGGCCACCAAUUUAUUUAACGUAGAUCAAUUCAUUCAUAUGAAUUGGUUCAUUAAAACAAUCGGCCCCUUUCGGGGCCACCAUUUCUUCAAACUUAAGUGUAACAACGUAAGUGAUAGUGAAAGUGCAGUGAGAGUUCAUUGCCCCGAGUUUGAAAUCAGCUGUUCUGCACACGUGUUUGUCAGUGGGAAUUAUUUGCUUUCAGCGUAGCAGGUUCAUUUAGGAACGAAUGGGUACCAGUAAUUCAACCACAUGCCACAUGUAUAAGUGAUCCGACCCCGUGUGAUCAGGUAGUAUGAAACUUUUCUUUACUUUAUCAUUCAGGUCAGUAUUAACUAACAUCAAAUCUAUUUUAGUUUCCUCACCUCUUAUACAAGUAUUUCCCCCUUCCGUAUAUACUGAUAAUAGGCUAUUGCCCGUCAUAAAUUCUAUUAAUUUUUUCCCUCUAGGGUUCCAUGUACUGCCCGACACUAGCAAUUUACUAUUAAAGUCGCCACCUAUUAGGACUCCGGACCAUUUCUUUAGCUUAAUUAAUCCUGCGACUACAUGUAACCUCUCAUCUACAGUAUCCGGAUCAAUAUUUGGGGAUAGAUAUAUACUAAUAAUUAAUAAAUUAUUAUAUUCAAUUGCUAUCAUGCCUAUACUACGCUUAACUACGUCAGUUUUCCUUCCCUUCACUAUUCCACUAUUUGUGAUCCAAAGAGCUGCAUCACCCGUUGCGUCUAUAUACCAGUAACUCUUACUCAUCUUCUUAUUUUGUUCAGUCAUAAACACAAGGUCCGGCAUUCUUUUCUCCACCGUCUUGUUUAAAAGAUCGUGCGCAACUUUGCAUCUAUUUAAAUUGAUCUGUAGUACGUUUAGCGUGAAUUUAGCCGAUUUUUACUCCGCUUAUCGCUUCUUUAUAUUGUUUAGAUCUAAGUGUGCCUGCAAUGUGAUUAAGGUCUUUUUCCAGUAAUCCCUUUGCCGCGCAUAGUAUACACCUUGUUUUUUCUGCUUUACAUUCCGACAUCGUAUGAGUUUUAUCGCCAUACCUUCUACAUAUCGCGGAAUCACCCUCUACAGCCACACAUCUUGCGGCCGCAUGCCCAAAAUUAUGGCAUUUAUAGAACCUCAUUAUAGUAGGUAACUGUCUGACCCUGCAGUAGACCCAACCUAUCUUAAUUUUAUUGUCCCUUAUUUUCAUCAGUAAGGCCGCGUUCAGACUAUGCAAUUUAGUUGUACAACUUUCCGUGCAACUUCGGGUCCGAAUUUUUGUGUUUCUGGUCGUGCCUGUACCAGGUAUGCCGCCCGAAAAAGGAAAUGAUUUUCUCUUGUAGAAAUACCAACUUCCGCAUUUUUUAUCAGAUCUUUGCGGAAGCGACGUCAAUCGAUUCCUUAUGUUUUUGCGAUCAUAAUGAACCCAAACGCGACAUAAAUUGGACAAUAAUUAACCAAGUUACGUGAAAAAUCUAAAUGCAUAGUUAAAAGCCAAUUUCGUUAAAAGUAGUCCGGUUUACGUGAUAUGGGGUAUCAUUUUAAUUGGGAGAACACCAGCAAUCCAUUAGUACCACUUUCAUACCGAUGCGGUGAAAAAUAAAGAAUUUGAUGUUUUGAAAAAUUGACACGGUCGCGACUGCACAAUUUCCGUCCCUGCAGCCAUGAGCCUCUCGGCACGGUGCCUAACACCUUCAGCUAGGACGAGACCUAACCCUAACUUAAACUUAAUCCUCCUUUUAGUCGCCUCUUACGACAGGCAGGGGUUACCGUGGCUGUAUUCUAAACCCCCCAGCCACAGAGAGGCACUCGCUUACACCUAACGCAAUCUAAACGAAAACCUGUCGUCGAGUUCCUUAUUUAACAAACUAUUUGACUAGAAACGAAGCACCGACUCGUCUCUCCGUCUAUCAGGACUCGCUUAUACAUUUUCCUUAAUCUCGUGGAUUAUUUAAUAAACAGAAGGAAGCGAUACGAUAUUUUGUUCAAGAUACCUUGUUCAUUUCGAGAGUCAGUCCUGGUUCAUUCGUUAUCGGUUGCAGUUCGAGUAUCGGGAAUGGUGCUGUGAAUUUUAUUGUUUUAUGUGUUUUUAUGAUAAUUAUCACAUAUUGGAAUGUAAAAAAUAAAAAAAAA